rnacentral:misc_RNA from 1 species
GGGAAGAGUUUUUUUAUACAUUGUCUUUUGUAACACAUCUGAAAAACCUAAAGCACAUUGGAAUUAACAGGCCCUCAAAACCCCAUUUAAAAGUUGAAAGGAGCUCUAGGAUGGCUGAGAAAAGCACAAAAGUGUAGUUGAUUUGCAUUGCAUCAUAAUUUUUGUCAAUGCCAAAAAUUUAAUGUGUUCUAGUAACACACACUUUCACAUUUAUAGAACUGCAAUGCAAAACAAGUUCCUAGGAGAGAAAAAAUCUGUGUAGGUGAAGUAAUCCUUUUUCAUUCUUUUACUAAAAACAUAAAAUAAUUUAGCUUAACUAAUUGCUGUAAAGAAUACAGUACAUUAACAUUUAACACAUAUACAGUAAUGAGCAUUUGGGCCUAAAGAUAAAAAUGAAAUCACAAUAAUGAUUUACAUAAAGAAAUACUUGCGAACCACCACUUCCAUCUUUUUACCACGUGCCAUCAGAAGUAAAGAGAAAGGAAAGAGAAACUUUAAGGCAAAUCUCCUAUGAAUAGGAGAUUACAAAAACAAUUUUUGCAGAGGAGAGAGAGAGAGAGAG